GGCAAGGAAAGGAAGAUACAGAAUGGCCCGCAAGGUAGCCGUUGCACUGGUUUCUGUUCUCUACGCCUUCCACAUCAUGUAUGCAGUUUGUGAAGAUCCAGAACUAAGUGAUAGUAGCGAGGACUACUUAAGCGGAGCGUAUG